rnacentral:tRNA from 1 species
GGUGUGUUAGUUCAGUUGGUUAGAAUACCUGCCUGUCACGCAGGGGGUCACGGGUUCGAGUCCCGUACACACCG